rnacentral:rRNA from 1 species
GGUUUGAGAGGAUGAUCAUCCACACUGGAAUUGAGACACGGUCCAGACUCCUACGGGAGGCAGCAGUGGGGAAUAUUGCACAAUGGGGGAAACCCUGAUGCAGCCAUGCCGCGUGUGUGAAGAAGGCCUUCGGGUUGUAAAGCACUUUCAGCGAGGAGGAAAGGUUGAUGCCUAAUACGUAUCAACUGUGACGUUACUCGCAGAAGAAGCACCGGCUAACUCCGUGCCAGCAGCCGCGGUAAUACGGAGGGUGCAAGCGUUAAUCGGAAUUACUGGGCGUAAAGCGCACGCAGGCGGUUGGAUAAGUUAGAUGUGAAAGCCCCGGGCUCAACCUGGGAAUUGCAUUUAAAACUG